CUUGCCUCUAAAGGCUUUGCAGGGGUGGCUGCUGUGUCACAUGUGCGUCAGUAGGUGGCAGAGAAGAGAGAGGCUAUGCAUAUGUUCAGUGUUCUGACCUAUAAACAUCCGAAUGUUUAGUAAUCUAGUACU